AUUCUAGAUAAUACUUUCAUAUGACAGGCUUCAUAAUGAGUGCGAACGUUGAGUUGAUAGUAGCAGACACUGAGAUCUUCAGUUCAUCCAGCAGCAGGCAUGGAGCACUGGCAGUGAUUCUAUUCUUCCAUGCAUUGGCUUGCAUCUUGCUCUGGACUCAGGUUUCCCCACUGCCAUCAGUGUUGUCAAAAUGAGAUUUCUCCUGAUUGUGUCCUGCUGGUUGUUAAGGCCUGGGCUGAGCUCAGUGCUUUCAUCCCUGUACAGCUGGUAAGUGAGGUUAUUCUGCCCCAUUUUUUGUUUUGAGGUGGUGUUCUAAAACAGAAGGUCCCCUUCAGAAGCUUCUUCUGAUUCCCCACCUAUUGUAUUCCAACCUUUUCCCUCUGUAAAGUUGUAUUUACUUAAACUUCACUUUUCCAAACAUUCCGGUAUUUCAGAGGAGACCCCUUCCCUCUCAGCCAGCCAGAUUUGGGAUGCAUGGCUGAGGUCUAAAGCGUAUAGGCAUUCUCUCCAUCACUUCUGGGUGUUUUUUUUUUUUACCGUGUAACUAACUCAUUCUUCUGUAUCUUUGUCACAGACCUGUACAAAUUACAGUUAAAAACAUAUCUAGAGAAGCUGCUGGGACAGGACAGCUCGUGUCCAGCACUGAGAUCCAGUUGGGGAGCUCCAGCACCUCAUGAUCCUUGAGACCGCGGGAGCAUCCCGGCCCAUUGCUCAACGUGAUGUGUCUAGACACGUUCAGGGACAAGGAAGAGGCGCUUCGUUGACCCACGGCCCACCUCCUCGCCGA